rnacentral:rRNA from 1 species
UGGGGAAUCUUGCGCAAUGGGCGAAAGCCUGACGCAGCGACGCCGCGUGGGGGAGGACGGCCUUCGGGUUGUAAACCUCUUUCAGCCCUGACAAAGGUGAUGGUAGGGGCAGAAGAAGCGCCGGCUAACUACGUG